rnacentral:rRNA from 1 species
CACGUAGGGCGCGAGCGUUGUCCGGAAUUAUUGGGCGUAAAGGGUGCGUAGGCGGUUUGGUAAGUCUUAUGUGAAAUCUACAGGCUCAACUUGUAGUCUGCAUGAGAAACUGCCGGGCUUGAGUAUGGGAGAGGUGAGUGGAAUUCCUGGUGUAGCGGUGAAAUGCGUAGAUAUCAGGAGGAACACCUGUGGCGAAAGCGGCUCACUGGACCAUAACUGACGCUGAUGCACGAAAGCUAGGGGAGCAAACAGG